rfam:Camelus ferus unplaced genomic scaffold scaffold843, whole genome shotgun sequence.
GAGGGUAUAGCUUGGUGGUAGAGUGCAUGCCUAACAUGCACAAGGUCCUGGGUUCAGUCCCUAGUACCUCCA